rnacentral:rRNA from 1 species
GAUCCCCAUAGGCUGGUUCUAGGGAUGAUACGCCAUGGAACUGGAACCGGUCCAGAUCCUAACGGAAGCAGCAUUGGGAAUUUGCACAAUUGGGCGCAAGCUUGAUGCAGCCAUGGCGCUGUAUGAAAGAAGCUCGGUGUAAAGCACUUCAGUCGUGAGGAGUAGUGUAGUAUAGCUGCAUCAUUGACGUAGCGACAGAGAGCACGCUACUCGUGCAGCAGCGCGUAUACGAGGGUGCGAGCGUAUCGGAAUUACUGGGCGUAAAGCGCAUGCAGGUGGUUGUUAAGUCAGAUGUGAAAGCCCGGGGCUCAACCUCGGAAUAGCAUUGAAACUGGCAGACUAGAGUACUGUAGAGGGGGGUAGAAUUCAGGUGUAGCGGUGAAAUGCGUAGAGAUCUGAAGGAAUACCGGUGGCGAAGGGCGGCCCCCUGGACAGAUACUGACACUCAGAUGCGAAAGCGUGGGGAGCAAACAGGAUUAGAUACCCUGGUAGUCCACGCCGUAAACGAUGUCUACUUGGAGGUUGUGGCCUGAGCCGUGGCUUUCGGAGCUAACGCGUUAAGUAGACCGCCUGGGGAGUACGGUCGCAAGAUUAAAACUCAAAUGAAUUGACGGGGGCCCGCACAAGCGGUGGAGCAUGUGGUUUAAUUCGAUGCAACGCGAAGAACCUUACCUACUCUUGACAUCCAGAGAACUUUCCAGAGAUGGAUUGGUGCCUUCGGGAACUCUGAGACAGGUGCUGCAUGGCUGUCGUCAGCUCGUGUUGUGAAAUGUUGGGUUAAGUCCCGCAACGAGCGCAACCCUUAUCCUUGUUUGCCAGCGAGUAAUGUCGGGAACUCCAGGGAGACUGCCGGUGAUAAACCGGAGGAAGGUGGGGACGACGUCAAGUCAUCAUGGCCCUUACGAGUAGGGCUACACACGUGCUACAAUGGCGCAUACAGAGGGCGGCCAACUUGCGAAAGUGAGCGAAUCCCAAAAAGUGCGUCGUAGUCCGGAUUGGAGUCUGCAACUCGACUCCAUGAAGUCGGAAUCGCUAGUAAUCGUGGAUCAGAAUGCCACGGUGAAUACGUUCCCGGGCCUUGUACACACCGCCCGUCACACCAUGGGAGUGGGCUGCUAAAAGAAGUAGUGUAGUUUAACCUUCGGGGGGACGCUACCA